GACAGAGGGUGCAAACGUUGUUCGGAAUUACUGGGCGUAAAGCGAGUGUAGGCGGUGUGGUAAGUCGGAUGUGAAAGCCCCGGGCUCAACCCGGGAAGUGCACUCGAUACUGCCACGCUAGAGUAUCGGAGAGGUUGGUGGAAUUCUCGGUGUAGAGAUGAAAUUCGUAGAUAUCGAGAGGAACACCGGUGGCGAAGGCGGCCAACUGGACGAAUACUGACGCUGAGACUCGAAAGCGUGGGGAGCAAACAGG
rnacentral:rRNA from 1 species